rnacentral:ribozyme from 1 species
UCCUGCAUUCAAUCACACAAAGACAUCAAGAAUUCAAAUCAAAAACAAAAAAAAAAGACAAAAACAAAAAUUGUAUGUGUCAACAUUUGCCUUGUUGUUUUCCUUUUUUUAUUUUCU